GUUCCAGUAGCGCAUUGGACAGCGCUUUGGAUUUCUAAUCCAAAGUUCGUGGGUUCGAAUCCCCACCUGGGAUG